CAGUAGGGAAGAAGCCGCAAGGUGACGGUACCUGCAGAAGAAGCGCCGGCUAACUACGUGCCAGCAGCCGCGGUAAUACGUAGGGCGCAAGCGUUAUCCGGAAUUAUUGGGCGUAAAGAGCUCGUAGGCGGUUUGUCGCGUCUGCCGUGAAAGUCCGGGGCUCAACUCCGGAUCUGCGGUGGGUACGGGCAGACUAGAGUGAUGUAGGGGAGACUGGAAUUCCUGGUGUAGCGGUGAAAUGCGCAGAUAUCAGGAGGAACACCGAUGGCGAAGGCAGGUCUCUGGGCAUUAACUGACGCUGAGGAGCGAAAGCAUGGGGAGCGAACAGGAUUAGAUACCCUGGUAGUCCAUGCCGUAAACGUUGGGCACUAGGUGUGGGGGACAUUCCACGUUUUCCGCGCCGUAGCUAACGCAUUAAGUGCCCCGCCUGGGGAGUACGGCCGCAAGGCUAAAACUCAAAGGAAUUGACGGGGGCCCGCACAAGCGGCGGAGCAUGCGGAUUAAUUCGAUGCAACGCGAAGAACCUUACCAAGGCUUGACAUGAACCGGUAACGCCUGGAAACAGGUGCCCCGCUUGCGGUCGGUUUACAGGUGGUGCAUGGUUGUCGUCAGCUCGUGUC
rnacentral:rRNA from 1 species